rnacentral:rRNA from 1 species
UACAGAGGUCCCAAGCGUUGUUCGGAUUUAUUGGGCGUAAAGGGUGCGUAGGCGGCGGAGUAAGUUGGGUGUGAAAUCCCGGGGCUCAACCUCGGAAUUGCAUUCAAUACUGCUUCGCUCGAGUACUGGAGAGGAGGCUGGAAUUUACGGUGUAGCAGUGAAAUGCGUAGAUAUCGUAAGGAAGGCCGGUGGCGAAAGCGAGCCUCUGGACAGUUACUGACGCUGAGGAGCGAAAGCGUGGGUAGCAAACAGG